GACGAACGCUGGCGGCGUGCUUAACACAUGCAAGUCGAACGGAAAGGCCCUGCUCUUGUGGGGUGCUCGAGUGGCGAACGGGUGAGUAACACGUGAGUAACCUGCCCUUGACUUUGGGAUAACUUCAGGGAACUGGGGCUAAUACCGGAUAGGAUCUCCUGCUGCAUGGUGGGGGUUGGAAAGUUUCGGCGGUUGGGGAUGGACUCGCGGCUUAUCAGCUUGUUGGUGGGGUAGUGGCUUACCAAGGCUUUGACGGGUAGCCGGCCUGAGAGGGUGACCGGCCACAUUGGGACUGAGAUACGGCCCAGACUCCUACGGGAGGCAGCAGUGGGGAAUAUUGCACAAUGGGCGGAAGCCUGAUGCAGCAACGCCGCGUGCGGGAUGACGGCCUUCGGGUUGUAAACCGCUUUCGCCUGUGACGAAGCGUGAGUGACGGUAAUGGGUAAAGAAGCACCGGCUAACUACGUG
rnacentral:rRNA from 1 species